GCAUGGAUGAAUUCUGUCCCAGCUGCUCUGUGCUGAAUACAGUCAGACACCAUGCAAAAGCCUCUUCUCAUUUCUGCUAAAUGACUGGAUAGGUGUUUCCGUCAUCUUUGUCCAGCUGCAUAGGAAUGAGUACACUG